ACAGGAAACUAGCUAACAUUCAUCAUGUAAUGUUUGCCACCAUUGCGUUUAGGUCUAUGCUAGCUAGCCACAAGUAACUACACUUUAAAACGGUGGUGAUUAUGUGAACGCUUCCAUACAGCCGUUACACAGUAAGUAGUGUAAAGCAUAUAGCACAAGAGGAUGUUCGUCCAACCGAUACUUCCAAUUCUUGAUUUGAGUCCAUGUGCCAGACCACAACAAUUGGGUAAUCGGGCUCAUUUGGGCCGACAAUGUUUCAUAUUGAUUUUUUUUUUAAAGGUUGUCCCUAGAGUUCAGGGUUGCCAGGUCCAGCAAAAAAAAAAUGUAUUGAAUAAAUGACUACGCUAAACCAGAACACAAGGCCUGAAACUGCAGCAAUAGCGGAGUUGUCACUUUUAGACAAUUUACACUUUCCAUAACCUUGACGGAAUUACGAAUUACUGUGUUGAAGCCACUGUUCCUCCAUCUUGGCACUCCCCCACCACAGUGGUGUAAUGCAGUGGUUCCCAACCUUUUUCGUUUACACUACCACCGACUGAAUUUUGUCUAACCAGAGUACCCCUGAAGUACCCCCUCAUGUGCAUUUUACCAGUACACAAAUGGUCUCAUGAGCAUUCAAGUACAUCCAGGUCCCAGUACCCCUAGUUGGGAACCACUGGUAUAAUUUAACUAAGUAAAAAAUACUUUGAAAAAUACUUUGAAGUACUACUUAAGUAUUUUGGGGGGUAUCCAGAGCUUGAUAUUAAGGCUUGUCCACUUGCCCAGGGCAAGUACAAAAAAAAGUAGGACAAAAAGCACUAUCAAACAAUUUAGGCUACUCUGAUCAGAAUUGGUUCAUUGUCCCCCGGAUGCAAUGUGUUUUGCACUGUCCUCUAUCUUCCCAAUCUCUGCGGAGCACAUGGGAGUAUAAUUAUUGUAGGCCUGCAUUGACAGGCACAAGUGGUCUGUCAAUCAUGCAGUCGGGAGAUGCGUGUUUGAGAUCACAGCACGCUUAACCGCAUUUUGUUCAUAUUCGUUGAUAGUGAGUUAUUUGCCCAGUUAUAGCACAUUUCUGGUCAGCAAUGAAAAUCCUGGAAAAGUCAUGGUGUGUGCAUCACCGGCGUGUGUGCCAGUGGGCCGUUUCCAGAGGAGCGAGACAUUGCGCAGCAGGUACUAGUGGACAGAAUGGAGGCACACCUGACACUGCACCUCACCGCAGUGGAUGGCCAUGUGGCAGAGAGUGAUGGGGGUGUGAGCAGGGAGAGUGCUGCAGGGGACACCAUCAAGACACACCGUGAGUGACAGACGGGACAUAACAAGUUGGACUACAUUCUACUUGUUCUCUGUCGAAUCAGACAGUGCUGCUGAGUGGACACAGACUUGAUAUGUUGUGCCUUUUCAAAUGGGCUGGAGUUCAUUGAUGAGGUGGGCCUGCAGACGCUUCCUUACUCUACGCUGAAAAAGUAUUUUUCCCGGACGGUUGUCAUGAAGGGGUAACUAAUCAGGCUCAGUUUACAUCCAGACAGCCACACCAUGCGAUAAGCUAAGAUAUUCUCUCAUAUGUCAUAUCUUUUUAAAUAUCAUAUUUUAAAAUGAAGCUUAUGUAAAAACAAAAUUACCACCUUUUGAUUGGUGAGCCAUUAAAAUAUCUAUCCAAGUCUA